rnacentral:misc_RNA from 1 species
AGUCGUAACAAGGUAUCCGUAGGUGAACCUGCGGAUGGAUCAUUACCAAAGGAUUCAUUUCCAACGUAUUGUGAACUGUUUUGAACUUACAGUCAGUGUUUUAUUUGUGAGUAUGGCUGCGGUAACGCGGCUGUAGGAUCAGUAAGCACUGGCUGUACCCUUAAACACGUAUUAUAUAUAUUUACUGAAGUAUGUUUUAGGAUAUAAACUAAGACAACUUUUAGCAACGGAUCUCUUGGCUCUC